AAGUGGGCAAUCAAAUUUGUUCUGUUGAAAUGUUCAUCUAUAGAUCCUCCUUGAGAAAUUUUAGGGAAGCAUUGUUUGCAAAAUGCAUUUCUAAUGUUGUUUUGCCAAUAUUAAACAUUUCACAUAGCAGCCAUUUUUCUAACUGUUUAGUUUGCAGGAUGUGCAAAGCAAUAUGGGUCAACAUUUUAAAUGGAAUUAUCGGUGAUACAUUUUGGUUUAUUUUUAGGGCUGCAACAAUUCAUCGAGUAACUUGAAUAACUCGAUCACAAAAAAUCCUCGAUGCAAAUUCUUUGCUUCGAUGCUUCGUGUAAUCCGCACAACUAUGUACCGCUUAGUGAUCACUGUGUUUCACUCGGAGGAUUAUUACUGUCGCAUAGUGUGAUUACGCUGCAUUACGUGUAGCAGGUUUGAUUUGAUGGCGCAAUGGAGGAAGACAGGGAAACUAGCGAGGAAAGUCAGAGAAAAAGACGAAAAAUGUCAAGUUUUGGACCAUUUCAAACAAAAGAAAAGCGAAAAUACUGUACAGUGUGUCCAUUGUAAAACCGAAUUAGCUUACCACAAUAGCACAACGUCAAUGAUUCAACAUCUCAACAGAAAGCACCCAGUCUAUGCAUCCAGUCCACAGAGCGGAACCAAUACAAGGAUAAACGGGUGUGUGUGACAACAUUAGCGGGGUCAAUAUUGUUGAAGCCGCCACUCUCAACAUCUGGACCAGACUGUCAUGCUUUGGCCAUCAUCUACGCAUUGCUAUUGAGAGGAGUGUGAAGGACCCCAGGAUUGACAAAGCAGUGGGAGUUGUGGCUUCCUUUGCUCACAGCUGGAAGUGGCAGCGGGCACUACAGGAUGCUCAAGUGGAAAUGGGCUAAUUUCAGAACAAACUGGUCACAGACUCUCCCAUUCGAUGGGGAUCAAGACAAAAGAUGAUCCAGUGGUCGCUGGAAAAAGAAAAGGCCAUCACACAGGUCUUCGCUGCUGACAUAUCAAGCAGACACCUGGUGCCAACAUGGCAAAAUGUAGAGGUUCUUGAUUCUGAGAAAGGUUCUAGGUCCUCUCCUUGAAUUCACUGAUGUGUUCUCUGAAGACUAUGUCACCAUCCCCUGCGUGAAGCCUGUUCUUCAGUUAUUCGGUAAGAACAUUCUACAGGCAAAAGAGAAUGACACAGACCGCACAAAGACAAUAAAGAAGUCAGUACUGAACUACAGAAGAGCAAUUAUGUGACAGACAACGUGAUUGAGGAACUGAUCAGUCUGGCAAUCUGUCCAAUCCAUGCUUCCGCACUGAAUACAUGAGCGAAAGUGAGAGCAAAGCCAUCCAAGCCAGAGCAGUUUGUGAAGUGGAAUCCCUUCUAUUAGAAUCACACAGCUGCAGAAUCAGAAUUUUAUUUUUACACAAGAAAUCAGAAGAAAUGCAACAGUUCCAGCACUGAUAUUCUACCUUAUUCAAUGGUAAUCCAAAAAAAAAAGAUGCAAGGCAACUACAUUUUGACAGCAUUUUAUUUUUAUAAACAGUGAGUGUUUACAUUUUUACUGAAGGUUAUGUUUACAUUCGUACUUAAAAUUUGAGGUCAGUUUUAUUAGGCGACAAUAUGGUGGAGGCUUCUGAAGAGUUACAUGGUUGAGUUACUUUAGUUAUAGUAUUAUUAAACUACCUAGGCUAUGUUUCUGCUUACCAUUGAGUUAUGCUCCGUCACGGUAUAUAAUGCUGGGUCACAAUUAUUGUACUACAAUGCUGCUGCUGACACCGUGUGGAAACAUUCACACAUUGAAUUAGGUAGUCUGUCAUCAAUGACAGUAGCUUACUUAAACGGAUGGAAAAUCCCCUUCAUUUUGUUUGCAAUAAUAAAUGUUGCUGCCUGCAAGUUACAUUCACCGAUGAAACGUUCAGUAUUUUUUUUCUAUAUCAUCAUAAAUAUCAUUAAUCACAACUUUCUCGAAAUAUCAUGAUAUUUUGAAGCUGUAUCACCCACCCCUAGUGGAAAGCAUCAGAAGAGUAAGUCAGAGUUGCGAGAUGCCAUUCAAAGUGCUGUCCAAGCUGUAACUCCUGAAACCCUCAACACUCUUACAAGUUCAAUGGAUGAAAAAUUUAGAACUGAGGAAAAAAAGAUGGUUAUAUUAACAUGUAAAACUGAUUGUUUCUUGUUCUUGAGUAAUGGAAAAACCUCUUAAAUGGUAUUUUCAUUUAUGAAACAUAUGGUUUCAAAAUCUUACCCAUUCAGAAAAUAAAGCAUACCCUGCAGAAUCUCA